AUGGAUUUCAUUGUCGGACUACCUCGGUCACGGCACGGGAAUGAUGCCAUAUGGGUCAUCACCGAUAGAUUAACCAAGGUGGCACAUUUCAUUCCAGUGAAGAUAACCUACAACACUCAGAGGCUCGCCAGGAUUUAUCUCUCCCGUAUAGUUUGUCUGCAUGGAGUCCCGAAGACUAUAAUAUCCGACAGAGGCACUCAGUUCGUCUCAAGAUUCUGGGAUCAUUUACAUCAGGCUCUGGGAACUCAACUGGCUUUCAGCACAGCCUACCAUCCCCAGACUGAUGGACAGACUGAACGCGUAAACCAAAUUUUAGAAGACAUG
rnacentral:rRNA from 1 species